UACGAAGGUCCCAAGCGUUAUCCGGAUUUAUUGGGUUUAAAGGGUGCGUAGGCGGGCUAUUAAGUCAGUGGUGAAAUCUCCGAGCCUAACUCGGAAAUUGCCAUUGAUACUGAUGGUCUUGAGUACAUUUGAAGUGGGCGGAAUGUGUCAUGUAGCGGUGAAAUGCUUAGAUAUGACACAGAACACCGAUUGCGUAGGCAGCUCACUAAACUGUAACUGACGCUGAGGCACGAAAGCGUGGGGAGCAAACAGGG
rnacentral:rRNA from 1 species